CGACGGUGAGGGAUGAAAGCUGGGGGAGCAAACCGGAUUAGAUACCCGGGUAGUCCCAGCUGUAAACUAUGCAAACUCAGUGAUGCAUUGGCUUGUGGCCAAUGCAGUGCUGCAGGGAAGCCGUUAAGUUUGCCGCCUGGGAAGUACGUACGCAAGUAUGAAACUUAAAGGAAUUGGCGGGGGAGCACCACAAGGGGUGAAGCCUGCGGUUCAAUUGGAGUCAACGCCAGAAAUCUUACCCGGAGAGACAGCAGAAUGAAGGUCAAGCUGAAGACUUUACCAGACAAGCUGAGAGGUGGUGCAUGGCCGUCGCCAGCUCGUGCCGUGAGAUGUCCUGUUAAGUCAGGUAACGAGCGAGAUCCCUGCCUCUAGUUGCCACCAUUACUCUCAGGAGUAGUGGGGCGAAUUAGCGGGACCGCCGCAGUUAAUGCGGAGGAAGGAAGGGGCCACGGCAGGUCAGUAUGCCCCGAAACUCUGGGGCCACACGCGGGCUGCAAUGGUAACGACAAUUGGUUUCGAAUCCGAAAGGAUGAGGUAAUCCUCAAACGUUACCACAGUUAUGACUGAGGGCUGCAACUCGCCCUCACGAAUAUGGAAUCCCUAGUAACUGCGUGUCAUUAUCGCGCGGUGAAUACGUCCCUGCUCCUUGCACACACCGCCCGU
rnacentral:rRNA from 1 species